rnacentral:misc_RNA from 1 species
AACUGAUACUACCUGCGGGAACCUGCGGAAGGAUCAUUAAUGAGAAGCUGCCCCUCGUGGGUAGACCUCCCACCCUCUGUGAACUUACCUUUGUUGCUUUGGCAGGCCCGUCCUCUGGACCGCCGGCUUCGGCUGGCCCGUGCCUGCCAGAGGAUUCCAAACCCUGUCUGUCAGUGUUGUCUGAGUCUAUAUGAAAUCGUUAAAACUUUCAACAACGGAUCUCUAGAUCGGAAGAGCACA